UACAGAGGGUGCGAGCGUUAAUCGGAAUUACUGGGCGUAAAGCGCAUGUAGGUGGUUUAGCAAGUUGGGUGUGAAAUCCCCGGGCUUAACCUGGGAACUGCAUUCAAAACUACUAAGCUAGAGUAGAGUAGAGGGAAGUGGAAUUUCCGGUGUAGCGGUGAAAUGCGUAGAUAUCGGGAGGAACACCAGUGGCGAAGGCGACUUCCUGGCCUGUUCUUGACGCUGAGGCGCGAAAGCUAGGGUAGCAAACGGG
rnacentral:rRNA from 1 species